AGUGAACGCUGGCGGUAGGCCUAACACAUGCAAGUCGAACGGCAGCACAGUAAGAGCUUGCUCUUACGGGUGGCGAGUGGCGGACGGGUGAGGAAUACAUCGGAAUCUACUUUUUCGUGGGGGAUAACGUAGGGAAACUUACGCUAAUACCGCACACGACCUACGGGUGAAAGCAGGGGAUCUUCGGACCUUGCGCGAUUGAAUGAGCCGAUGUCGGAUUAGCUAGUUGGCGGGGUAAAGGCCCACAAAGGCGACGAUCCGUAGCUGGUCUGAGAGGAUGAUCAGCCACACUGGAACUGAGACACGGUCCAGACUCCUACGGGAGGCAGCAGUGGGGAAUAUUGGACAAUGGGCGCAAGCCUGAUCCAGCCAUACCGCGUGGGUGAAGAAGGCCUUCGGGUUGUAAAGCCCUUUUGUUGGGAAAGAAAAGCAGCAGGUUAAUACCCCGCUGUUCUGACGGUACCCAAAGAAUAAGCACCGGCUAACUUCGUG
rnacentral:rRNA from 1 species